rnacentral:rRNA from 1 species
UCGAAACCUGCCUAGCAGAGCGACCCGUGAACACGUUCAACCACGUGGGCGUUGGGGCGUUGCUCGGCGCCUAGUGUGCCGGACCGUCCCUCUCCCAAGCCGGGGGAACGCUCACUUGUGGGCUAUUUCCUCGGCAAAACAACGAACCCCGGCGCGUAAUGCGUCAAGGAAUACAAACAUUAUGUGUGUGCUCUCUUGUCGCCCGGUUGCCCGGGCUUGGAGCGGUGCCAUGUCUUAACAAUA